UACAGAGACUGCAAGCGUUAUUCGGGUUCACUGGGCGUAAAGGGUGCGCAGGCGGUCGGGUGUGUCAGAUGUGAAAUCCCGAGGCUCAACCUCGGAACUGCGUCUGAAACUACUCGACUAGAGUACUGGAGAGGGUAACGGAAUUCACGGUGUAGCAGUGAAAUGCGUAGAUAUCGUGAGGAACACCAGAGGCGAAGGCGGUUACCUGGACAGUUACUGACGCUCAGGCACGAAAGCAUGGGGAGCAAAAGGG
rnacentral:rRNA from 1 species